rnacentral:lncRNA from 1 species
GCCAACAUCUCCACUGCCUCCUCCUCCCAACACCACCGUCAAAUAAGAAGUUGCCACCACCACCACCGCAAUUACUGGCGGCAAAGGACAGCGGAUUAAUGCACCAGGCAGUCCCAUCUCUGUCAGGUACUAUACCCAGACCUGUGUAUGUCUUAUGUAUUUUGUGUAGUAAGGACAUCAUGUCUCAUCGUAAUCCAAUGCAGCAAUUAAAUGCAUGUGAAGCAACGAUUUCCAACCUGGCCCUGCCUGCCCCAGCACUACAGUAUUUGAAUCCGGUGGCAACCGGGCUAUGGGGCCGAGAACUCCAACUCCGGAGAUGGGAUCCCCUGCGCCAAGGAGUACCGAGGGCUAUAGCGCUACCCUCGUUUGCAAAUAUCUCAUGGUCUAUAUGACGUGUACUUGUAUAAUAGAUUGGGAAGGCCCCUAUCUAUUCUACCAGGACGCAAAGGACAUCAAGGAUUUAGAGACGCAUCCUCAUCAGCCGUUUUAAUAGCACGUACAUGCAAACAAUGCAUGACUUACUCCUCUUAGCUAGCUUGUCAUUAUUAGAUCAAUCCUCAUCAACUUGUAUACAUCCACGACCUGUCGCAAUCUAUCCGCAACCCCGCCCACCCUACCUGGGGAGACAGGCUUAUCGGACAGCGCCACAUCAGGUGCCGAGGUUUAUGGCAACAUGACCCUAAGUGUGGACUGUGGCUUGAUCGACAGCCUGGGUACCAACCUCGCCAUCGACCUCAGGGCGGAGCUGGCCAGUGCCUUCGGGGUGCGUGGCAUCAUGCGGGCCGUGUAUGUGUGUGCUCUUAAGUUGAUGAGCAAUAUGCGCCCCUUGGAUAAUUCGGCGAUGCCUAUAGGGAUUGGCAUCAGCUUUUGAUGUGCCAGCCAAAUGUUCUACACACCUCCUUACUAUCUUUGCUAUCUAU